AAAACAUUGGGGGGGUUUCUUGAUUUGAAAACUGAGGAGAGUUUUUUGGAAUACAAAAAAAAAAGGAGAGAAAGAGGUAAAAGAGAGGGAUGUAGACAAAUCAAGGAAACAGAAAUGUUAUUGUACUGUCUACUCUUUUGGAUUUCGAUGUCGCUCAUGUGCCCUCUCAAUUCCCGUAGGGUGAUUUUUCUUUUUCCGGUUCAAAACCCUUACGACUAUAUACGUUACGGCUAGUACGUGUCAUCUGAAAGUGUACCGUAUUCAAAUUUACGUCCAACUGAAAUAUAGACGAUAUUAUCGUAAUUUUCUUUAAUGAAUUUAAAUUUAUUCAGCUAAAAAAACUUUUUACAUCUAGUGCUUUCUGUUUUAAGAAUUAAAGAAUCAAAACUGAAAAACUUCUAUCUAUGGUGUGCAGUGUGCUUCGUGUACUAUUAAAUAACAAUUAAGGCUCAGCAAAAAAAAUUGGAUCUAAAGAAACGAAUCAAAUACGAUUCAAAAAAGUUCAAUCUCUCUUGAAUCAAAACUGGUAAAAAUAUCCAAACGCAUCCAGAAUUUUAGUUUCUCAAAAUUUGGAUCUAAAUUCGAUCUAAAAGAAAAUAUUUCGGAUACCUAAGAUAAUUGAAUCACAAUAAUAUAUUUAAAUAUAUUAAUUAUAUUUAGAUAUAUUUAAAAAAAAUUUCUGAAUUAUCCAAAAUACAUUUAAAAAAAAUAAAAGUAAACAUAAAAAAUACUCAAAACACUAGAAAUACCUUAAAUAUCUACAGGUUCUCCAUCCAAAUAUUUAAACUGAAUUAACUUUCAUGAAAGUUUUAGAUUUUUAACAUAUAUUGUUCAAAUUUAUAUACUGUACACAAUUUUUUUUUUUUUUAGAUUUAGGGUACACUGAAAUAUUAAUUUUAUAUAAUAUAAGUGGAUAUCCGAACUUGAACGGAAACUGCAAAAAUCUAAACUAAAUCUGAAUCGAAAUUUAUAAAUACUCAAAUAGACUUAACUAUAUAACCAUAAAAAUUUGAAACUCGAAUAGACCAAAACCAUACAUGUACUCAGAUGCCCACCUCUAUCAUACAUAUAAGUACAUCACUUAUAAGUAAAACAACCACUUAUAAGUCUAAGGUCGAUUAUAUAUCACCUAAUUUAAUAUCAAUUAUAUGAGGUUAAUGUUAAAAAGAAAAGUGAUAUGCUCCUUAAAAUAUUGGAGCUACAUUGUUUUAAGAAAAUGUUUUUUUUGUUUUAUUAUAUUCUCAUGAUAAAGCAUUGAUGUUAUAAGUGAAGAAAUAAACAAUAACUUUCUGAAGGCCAGUUUCAAAAAAGAAAACAAUAACUUUUUUUUGACAAAAAAUAACUUUUUUGACAAAAAUAACUUUUUUGACAAAAAAUAACUUUCAUCGUUUAUACAUUUAACAUUUAUAUUCUUCAUACUAAAUGGAUAUGGUCAAUAGCCAUCACAUCAUCUUCAUUAUCGUGUAUCAAAUGAUCACAAACAUGCCUCUCAAUAUCUCAAAGCACCUCCAACGCAGGCUCAUAACAAGUCCUUAACCCAAAUCCUUAAGGUAAAAGGAUUAAAAAAAUAUUAAAAAAAUUUGUGUACCUGAGAAUUGAUCCUUAAUUAAGAGGAUUAUGAGACUGAUCCUUAGUGCGCUGGCAUGACGCUAUUGGUUCUAGAGUUCCUUGUCUCUUUCUUCCUCUCGUUGAAUUUUUCUCAGAAAUUUGGUUUGAUCGACGAAGAGAGAAAAAAAUGGGGCAACAGCAAUCGAAAGAGGAAUUGCUGUUUCAGCAAGUGAGAUACGGUAAGGCUGAAGGGAUCGAUCUCUUCGUCGCGAAGGAGCUGACCUCGAGUGGAUGGAUAGAGAAGCUAAAACGCCUUUGAUAAUGGCUUGCAUGAACUCCGAGCUUUACGAUCCAAGACUUUGAUCGAGUUGGGUGCUACUGUUAAUGCUUAUCGUCCUGGUACGACUUGAAUCAAAUUGAUUAAGCAGAGUCUCUCUGUCUUUAGCAUGCGCUAUACCAAAAUCUAGUUCUUGAAAUGUUGAUAACCGGGUUGAGAAGACUCUUUCUACUACUCUCUGAUUAACUGAACUGAACGAGGAGAGGCGGAGCUUGAAAGCUGAGGCAGCUAAGGUUAGAGCUGAGGCACGCAAGAUAUUCCAGGAAGAGUUAAGGAAAACGCUGUUGCAGAUGAAUGAAAGGGAGGAAAAGCUGGAAUAUUUGAGAAUGAAGGGACAAAAAAGGGAAGAUGAGAAGAAAGCGAGGAAGAAGCUGGUGCAUGAGCAGAGUUCAUUGUGGAUCGAGCCUUAAGAAAUUGAGAAGGGAGGCCCUGCUUGACUCCACUUCUCUCUGCUGAAAGAGACUACUCCUCUUCUUCAAAUUGAGAGAAAUCAAAGACGUUUUUAGUCUUUUUGCAUUUGGUAGAUAAGUUCAAAACAUAUGCAUUUCACAUUAUAAUUUUUUAACUCAAUGCAAUUGACAAUAUUGUUUCACUUCUAAACAUAUGCAUUUCACACUAUAAUUUUUUUUUCCUAAGGAUUCCUAAAUGGAGUACACCAUUGGACUGA